GUGGGGAAUAUUGGGCAAUGGAGGAAACUCUUACCCAGCAAUGCCGCGUGAGUGAUGAAGGUCUUAUGGAUUGUAAAACUCUUUGAUUAGGGACGAAUAAAUGACGGUACCUAAAGAACAAGCCCCGGCUAACUAUGUGCCAGCAGCCGCGGUAAUACAUAGGGGGCGAGCGUUGUCCGGAAUGACUGGGCGUAAAGGGUGUGUAGGCGGUUUGUUAAGUUAGAAGUGUAAUACCCAGAGCUUAACUCGGGUGCUGCUUCUAAUACUGACGGACUUGAGUGUAGGAGAGGAUGAUGGAAUUCCUAGUGUAGCGGUGGAAUGCAUAGAUAUUAGGAGGAACACCAGAGGCGAAAGCGAUCAUCUGGACUACAACUGACGCUGAGGCACGAAAGCGUGGGGAGCAAACAGGA
rnacentral:rRNA from 1 species